GUCAUUACUGCGUAAUGGUUAUUACCGAUUUAAUUUAAACGCCUCACUGUCAAACUGCAUCGUUUUCUUUCGUCUUUUUUUUUUUAUAUCUACGCCACCAAAACGAUGGCGAUGAAGCGUGGAGGUACUGGCCCGCCAGCGGAUGCCGACGAAAAAGUUCAGAAGCUCUGUGAUCACGUAAAGGCCAGUGCAGAGGCAAAAGCAGGGAAGACGUAUGAUGUUUUCACAGCCAAGAGCUACACGAAGCAGGUAGUGGCUGGGACCAACUACUUCAUAAAGGUCCAUGUGGGAGGAGACGAACAUGUUCACCUCCGUGUUCAUGAAAAACUCCCAUGUUAUGGAGGAGAAAUAGAGCUGAGUAAUAUGCAGCACUCGAAGAGCCACCAAGACCCUAUUGAGUACUUCUAAUGGGAUUCUGAACCAAACAAAGCAUCAGUGCCUACAGGCUGCCAUCUCAUUAUAUCACCAGUCCGUCAAGCUCCUGAAGUUCGCGGACGACCACACUCAUUGGAAUCAUCUCUGGGGGGGACAAGUCUGCCCACAGGUGGGAAAUUGACCACCUGGUGACCUGGGAAGUCAGAACAACCUGGAGCUAAACGCUGUGAAGACAGUGGAGAUGGUUGUGGAUUUUAGGAAGGAUGCAGCAACCACCCGCCCCCCAUCACCGCCCCAGUUUUAGGGUUAGCGCUACUGCUUCAAGUGUGUUUUAUUAUCCAUCUUAAUUUUUUUUAUUAAUUAUUGCAUUCUGUUGUUUUUAUGUUCAUUCUAUGUCUGCUUAUGUCAUGCAAUUUCCUUAUUGUACAGUAGGCCUAUUUCUUGUAUUAAAGGCACGAUACAAAUAU